UACGAAGGUGGCAAGCGUUGUUCGGAUUUACUGGGCGUACAGGGAGCGUAGGCGGUUGGAUAAGCCCUCCGUGAAAUCUCCAGGCUUAACCUGGAAAGUGCAGAGGGGACUGUUCAGCUAGAGGAUGGGAGAGGAGCGCGGAAUUCCCGGUGUAGCGGUGAAAUGCGUAGAGAUCGGGAGGAAGGCCGGUGGCGAAGGCGGCGCUCUGGACGAUGACUGACGCUGAGACGCGAAAGCGUGGGGAGCAAACAGG
rnacentral:rRNA from 1 species